UUGAACGCUGGCGGCAGGCUUAACACAUGCAAGUCGAGCGGGGGAAGGUAGCUUGCUACCGGACCUAGCGGCGGACGGGUGAGUAAUGCUUAGGAAUCUGCCUAUUAGUGGGGGACAACAUCUCGAAAGGGAUGCUAAUACCGCAUACGUCCUACGGGAGAAAGCAGGGGAUCUUCGGACCUUGCGCUAAUAGAUGAGCCUAAGUCGGAUUAGCUAGUUGGUGGGGUAAAGGCCUACCAAGGCGACGAUCUGUAGCGGGUCUGAGAGGAUGAUCCGCCACACUGGGACUGAGACACGGCCCAGACUCCUACGGGAGGCAGCAGUGGGGAAUAUUGGACAAUGGGGGGAACCCUGAUCCAGCCAUGCCGCGUGUGUGAAGAAGGCCUUAUGGUUGUAAAGCACUUUAAGCGAGGAGGAGGCUACUUUAGUUAAUACCUAGAGAUAGUGGACGUUACUCGCAGAAUAAGCACCGGCUAACUCUGUGCCAGCAGCCGCGGUAAUACAGA
rnacentral:rRNA from 1 species